CAGCCUCCGCGGUAAUACGUAGGGUGCAAGCGUUGUCCGGAAUUAUUGGGCGUAAAGAGCUCGUAGGCGGUUUGUCGCGUCUGCUGUGAAAUCCCGAGGCUCAACCUCGGGCUUGCAGUGGGUACGGGCAGACUAGAGUGCGGUAGGGGAGAUUGGAAUUCCUGGUGUAGCGGUGGAAUGCGCAGAUAUCAGGAGGAACACCGAUGGCGAAGGCAGAUCUCUGGGCCGUAACUGACGCUGAGGAGCGAAAGCGUGGGGAGCGAACAGGAUUAGAUACCCCAGUAGUCCCUGUCUCUUAUAC
rnacentral:rRNA from 1 species